rnacentral:rRNA from 1 species
UCGAGACGGCGGGGUAGAGGCCCGCCGCGGUAACGACGGGUAACGGGGAAUCAGGGUUCGAUUCCGGAGAGGGGAGCCCGAGAAACGGCUACCACUUCCAAGGAAGGCAGCAGGCGCGCAACUUACCCUAAUCUCGAUUCGAGGAGGUAGUGACAAGAAAUACCGAUGCGGGACCCUACGGGUGCCGCGUUCGGAAUGAGUACGAUUCGAACCACCUAACGAGGAACGAUCGGAGGGCAAGUCUGGUGCCAGCAGCCGCGGUAAUUCCAGCUCCAAUAGCGUACGUUAAAGUUGCUGCAGUUAAAAAGCUCGUAGUUGAACGUUCGGGUUCCGCGGGACGGGGCCGCCCCGCGAGGGACGGCGCCGCCCCGGGGCUCGUGAUAUCUCAUCUCGCCGCCCGUCGCGAGGCGGACGGAGGGAUGGAUGAGGUUACCUGGAAAAAAUCGGGGCGAUCUAGGCGGGCGAACCUCGCCAACGAACGAUCGGACAU